rnacentral:misc_RNA from 1 species
CCGUCAAUUCCUUUGAGUUUUAGCCUUGCGGCCGUACUCCCCAGGCGGGACACUUAAUGCGUUAGCUUCGGCACGGGAGGAGUCGACACCUCCCACACCUAGUGUCCAUCGUUUACGGCGUGGACUACCAGGGUAUCUAAUCCUGUUUGCUCCCCACGCUUUCGCGUCUCAGCGUCAGUACCGUCCCAGCAAGCUGCCUUCGCCAUAGGUGUUCCUCCCGAUAUCUGCGCAUUUCACCGCUACACCGGGAAUUCCACUUGCCUCUUCCGGACUCUAGCCCGGCAGUUUCCGCCGGCAUUCAAGGGUUGAGCCCUUGACUUUCACAGCGGACUGACCGGACCGCCUACACGCUCUUUACGCCCAAUGAUUCCGGACAACGCUUGCCCCCUACGUAUUACCG